GCCGGGUGCAGUGGCUCCCGCCUGUAAUCUCAGUAUUUUGGGAGGCUGGGGAGAGCAGAUCAUUUGAGGUCAGGAGUUUGAAACCAGCCUGCCCUACAUGGUGAAACCUCGUCUCUACUAAAAAUACAAAAAUUAGCUGGGCGUGGGACUACAGGCGCCCACUACCACGCCCAGCUAAUUUUUUUGUGUUUUUAGUAGAGACGGGGUUUCGCCAUGUUGGUCAGGCUGGUUUCGCGCUCCUGACCUCAGAUGAUCCACCUGCCUU
rnacentral:SRP_RNA from 1 species